rnacentral:rRNA from 1 species
GAUGAACGCUGGCGGCGUGCCUAAUACAUGCAAGUCGAGCGAACAGACGAGGAGCUUGCUCCUCUGACGUUAGCGGCGGACGGGUGAGUAACACGUGGAUAACCUACCUAUAAGACUGGGAUAACUUCGGGAAACCGGAGCUAAUACCGGAUAAUAUAUUGAACCGCAUGGUUCAAUAGUGAAAGACGGUUUUGCUGUCACUUAUAGAUGGAUCCGCGCCGCAUUAGCUAGUUGGUAAGGUAACGGCUUACCAAGGCAACGAUGCGUAGCCGACCUGAGAGGGUGAUCGGCCACACUGGAACUGAGAAACGGUCCCGACUCCUACGGGAGGCAGCAGUAGGGAAUCCUCCGCAAUGGGCGAAAGCCUGACGGAGCAAAGCCGCGUGAGUGAUGAAGGUCUUCGGAUCGUAAAACUCUGUUAUUAGGGAAGAACAAAUGUGUAAGUAACUAUGCACGUCUUGACGGUACCUAAUCAGAAAGCCACGGCUAACUACGUG